GAACCGUACGAACGUUAUUCGGAAUCACUGGGCUUAAAGGGUGCGUAGGCGGCGCUGAAAGUUGGGUGUGAAAUCCCUCGGCUUAACCGAGGAACUGCGCCCAAAACUACAGUGCUUGAGGGAGAUAGAGGUGAGCGGAACUUAGGGUGGAGCGGUGAAAUGCGUUGAUAUCCUAAGGAACGCCAGGGGCGAAAGCGGCUCACUGGGUCUCUUCUGACGCUGAGGCACGAAAGCUAGGGUAGCGAACGGGAUUAGAUACCCCGGUAGUCCUAGCCGUAAACGAUGAGCACUAGAUGGAAGGGUCCUCCAUAGCCUUUCCAUCGAAGCGAAAGUAAUUAGUGCUCCGCCUGGGGAGUAUGGUCGCAAGGCUGAA
rnacentral:rRNA from 1 species